GCAAACUUGGUCAUUUAGAGGAAGUAAAAGUCGUAACAAGGUUUCCGUAGGUGAACCUGCGGAAGGAUCAUUAUUGGUUUUUGCUUGAAGGGCUGUAGGUGGCCACACACACCAGCAGGUAGGUCAAAUACGCCCGGAUUGUCAAAUGUGUUAUCCACACUACUCACAAGUGCACAACUGUAGUGCCAACCGCGCUACGUUUGUUUGUUCAAUAAAACGUGUAUGCACACAAAAAAAAAAGACUUUUGGGGAUCAGACGAUGUCAUAACAACUUUCAGCAACGGAUCUCUUGGCUCUCGCAUCGAUGAAGAACGCAGC
rnacentral:misc_RNA from 1 species